rnacentral:rRNA from 1 species
UACGUAGGGAGCGAGCGUUGUCCGGAUUUACUGGGUGUAAAGGGUGCGUAGGCGGAUAAGCAAGUCAGUGGUGAAAUCUGUGGGCUCAACCCACAAACUGCCAUUGAAACUGCAUAUCUUGAGUGAAGUAGAGGCAGGCGGAAUUCCCGGUGUAGCGGUGGAAUGCGUAGAGAUCGGGAGGAACACCAGUGGCGAAAGCGGCCUGCUGGGCUUUAACUGACGCUGAGGCACGAAAGUGUGGGUAGCAAACAGG